AUACAACCUAAGUAAAUACAAUACAUUAAAUUCAGCCCAAUUAAAUUAAAUACAGCCCAUCUAUAUUUUCAACCCAAAAAUUCAGCCCAAUUAAAUUAAAUACAACCCAUCUAUAUUUUCAACCUUAAAAUACAGCUCAAAUAUUCAUCCCCUCACUUUAAGGUUCAGCGCCGCGCCUUCUCUCUCGUUUCUUCUCCCAGUCAAAACAUUCCUCCUUUCCACAUGCGCCGCUGCCCGCGAGAAGCUUUCCAUCAUCUUCUCUCUCUCUCCCUUCGCCUCAUCCCCUGCCGGCGAAAAACCUGCAACUAUAUCACGGCAAGCCGCCGUCCAAAAGCCCUAGAUCCCUAAGCCACCAACUCCGCCCUCACAUCUAGGCACUGGCGCAACUCAGUGGCGUCGCCACUCUCCUCGACGACGAUAAAUGCGCCACUGCACAGCCCGUAUCCAGUCGCCGCCGUACGGGUUUCAAACUACGGCGUCGCCCAAGCCCUAGCCUCCAGAUCUCGGCCUGCUCCCUCGUCUGCAUCUUUAAUUCUAUCGUUCUCCAUGUUUAAUUUUUCUUUCUGAAUUAUUAUUUUUUUGUUCAUUUAAACGAUAUCCACAAAUUUUGAGGGGAUAAAAGUAGCCUUUCACUUUGUAUUUUACAAUUUCUCUUCUCAUACCUGAUAGAGUUUAUGUGGAUUCCACAAUUUCUCUUCUCAUAUUUUUUGAAGGAAUAGAGUUUAUGCUAUUUAGAAUAUUCGUUUUUCAUUUUUUUAGUUAUUCAUCUUUUUUGUGUUUAUGUUAUCAUUUUUUUAGAUCUAUGAAUUUCUACACGCAUUUUCCUAAACGAACAAUGUAUCAUUUAUUUCUCUCUAGGCGCUACUGAUCCGAUUUCCCCUCUUGGGUGUUCUUUUUUGGGAGGAAGAGGAAGAAGAGAGAGCGACCUUAUUGUUAAGGUCUGGAGCAGGCGUUUUUAUGUUGAUCCAAGAGAUAAUCACUUUCAGAUCUUCAUGCUCUAUUGAUAGAUACUGCUCUAUUGAUAGAUACAGAUCUUCAUCUUCAUCUGGAAAGAAAAAUUCAGAAAAAUAUCAGCCUCUUCAUGUAUAAAUUAGAAAUAAUUGUUGUAAUAAUCUCUUAGUAUCUCUAUUGUAACUGUGACUAAUAGUUAGCCAAAAGCAAAAAAUAAAAUAAAA